AGCGAACGCUGGCGGCAUGCCUUACACAUGCAAGUCGAACGGCAGCACGGGAGCAGUCCUGGUGGCGAGUGGCGAACGGGUGAGUAAUAUAUCGGAACGUGCCCAGUCGUGGGGGAUAACGUAGCGAAAGCUACGCUAAUACCGCAUACGAUCCAUGGAUGAAAGCGGGGGAUCGCAAGACCUCGCGCGAUUGGAGCGGCCGAUAUCAGAUUAGCUAGUUGGUGGGGUAAAAGCCCACCAAGGCGACGGUCUGUAGCUGGUCUGAGAGGACGACCAGCCACACUGGAACUGGGACACGGUCCAGACUCCUACGGGAGGCAGCAGUGGGGAAUUUUGGACAAUGGGCGAAAGCCUGAUCCAGCAAUGCCGCGUGCAGGACGAAGGCCUUCGGGUUGUAAACUGCUUUUGUACGGAGCGAAACGGUCCUCUCUAAUACAGGGGGCUAAUGACGGUACCGUAAGAAUAAGCACCGGCUAACUACGUGCCAGCCGCCGCAGUAA
rnacentral:rRNA from 1 species